rnacentral:rRNA from 1 species
GUAGGGAAUAUUGCACAAUGGGCGAAAGCCUGAUGCAGCAACGCCGCGUGCGCGAUGAAGGCCUUCGGGUCGUAAAGCGCUUUUUGGGGAGAUGAGGAAGGACAGUAUCCCCAGAAUAAGGUUCGGCUAACUACGUGCCAGCAGCCGCGGUAAAACGUAGGAACCGAGCGUUAUCCGAAUUUACUGGGCGUAAAGCGCGUGUAGGCGGUUCGGUAAGUUGGAUGUGAAAUCUCCCGGCUCAACUGGGAGAGGUCGUUCAAUACUGUCGAACUCGAGGGUGGUAGAGGGAGGUGGAAUUCCCGGUGUAGUGGUGAAAUGCGUAGAUAUCGGGAGGAACACCAGUGGCGAAAGCGGCCUCCUGGACCAUUCCUGACGCUCAGACGCGAAAGCUAGGGGAGCAAACGGGAUUAGAAACCCGAGUAGUCC